rnacentral:rRNA from 1 species
UACAGAGGGUGCUAGCGUUGUUCGGAAUCAUUGGGCGUAAAGGGCGUGUAGGCGGCUAAGUAAGUCGGGCGUGAAAUCCCACGGCUCAACCGUGGAAGUGCACUCGAAACUGCAUAGCUAGAGUCCUGGAGAGGAAGGUGGAAUGCUUGGUGUAGAGGUGAAAUUCGUAGAUAUCAAGCGGAACACCGGUGGCGAAGGCGGCCUUCUGGACAGUGACUGACGCUGAGACGCGAAAGCGUGGGGAGCAAACAGG